rnacentral:rRNA from 1 species
AUUGAACGCUGGCGGCAGGCCUAACACAUGCAAGUCGAGCGGUAGAGAGGUGCUUGCAUCUCUUGAGAGCGGCGGACGGGUGAGUAAUGCCUAGGAAUCUGCCUAGUGGUGGGGGAUAACGUUCGGAAACGGACGCUAAUACCGCAUACGUCCUACGGGAGAAAGCGGGGGGAUCUUCGGACCUCGCGCCAUUAGAUGAGCCUAGGUCGGAUUAGCUAGUUGGUGAGGUAAUGGCUCACCAAGGCGACGAUCCGUAACUGGUCUGAGAGGAUGAUCAGUCACACUGGAACUGAGACACGGUCCAGACUCCUACGGGAGGCAGCAGUGGGGAAUAUUGGACAAUGGGCGAAAGCCUGAUCCAGCCAUGCCGCGUGUGUGAAGAAGGUCUUCGGAUUGUAAAGCACUUU